ACCUGGCUGGCUCAGUCAGUAGAUCAUGUGACUCAUGAUCUCAGGGUUGUGGGUUCAAGCCCCACGUUGGGUG